AUGAUGCAUUUGGUUUUAAAGACUUCUAAACAGGAAAAAAACAUAGGGAUGGGUUGUAGUGGGGAGAAGGCAGGGAUGAAGAAAAAGGUGUCCCCGCCCACACUCCCGCCCCCACCCUCUUGCCGCAAUGCAGGUGGGAACCAUAAUUGGGUAUCUGAGCUCAGAGUGACGUGGCCCUUACGAGACCUGGAGCUGACGCGUGGGUUAGCGUCUCCUCCUAGUUGCAGUCUGGUUGUCCUUUGUGGCUGUGCGCCGGCACGCUAUUGCCUUGAAGGCAGGCGAGCCUGUAGCACCGGGAAGGAGGAAGUCGUAGAAGCUGACCCUGAUCGGUUGCAGGUCUCUGGGUCCGUUGGUGCAGCAGAUUUCAAAGCAAAGAGAAGACGACUACUUCUGAGCCUGCAGGAAGAGUAAGCAGGAAAAAAAUCUCAACAUGGAAAAUGUCCCCCAGGAAAGCAAAGGAGAGGAGCAGGCUCCAAUGCAGAAUGAAGAAGCCCACCCUUUGGAAGGUGGUGAAGGCCAGGAGCCUGGAGGAAAUAUUAGAGCCGGUUGGGCCCCACCUGCCCAUGAUGUGAGAGAGGAUAUGCCCAAUAGGCUUGUCAAUAACCUUGACAUGAUAGAUGGAGAUGCAGAUGAUAUGGAACGGUUCAUGGAGGAGAUGAGAGAGCUAAGGAGGAAAAUUAGGGAGCUUCAGUUGAGGUACAGUUUGCGUAUUCUUAUAGGGGAUCCCCCUCACCAUGACCAUCAUGAUGAGUUUUGCCUUAUGCCUUGAAUGCUGAGGUCAGUAAUAAUAAACUCCCUGCCUCCCAAAGUUGCA
rnacentral:lncRNA from 1 species